rnacentral:rRNA from 1 species
GAUGAACGCUAGCGGCAGGCUUAAUACAUGCAAGUCGAGGGGCAGCAGGGGUGUAGCAAUACACUCGCUGGCGACCGGCAAACGGGUGCGGAACACGUACGCAACCUACCCAAAACUGGGGAAUAGCCCGGGGAAACCCGGAUUAAUACCUCGUAACAUAAUGAAGUGGCAUCACUUUAUUAUUAUAGCUCCGGCGGUUUUGGAUGGGCGUGCGCCUGAUUAGGUAGUUGGCGGGGUAACGGCCCACCAAGCCUACGAUCAGUAACUGGUGUGAGAGCACGACCAGUCACACGGGCACUGAGACACGGGCCCGACUCCUACGGGAGGCAGCAGUAAGGAAUAUUGGUCAAUGGACGCAAGUCUGAACCAGCCAUGCCGCGUGAA